CAGUCGCCACGGUAAUACGAAGGGUGCAAGCGUUACUCGGAAUUACUGGGCGUAAAGCGUGCGUAGGUGGUGGUUUAAGUCCGUUGUGAAAGCCCUGGGCUCAACCUGGGAAUUGCAGUGGAUACUGGGUCACUAGAGUGUGGUAGAGGAUAGUGGAAUUUCCGGUGUAGCAGUGAAAUGCGUAGAGAUCGGAAGGAACAUCUGUGGCGAAGGCGACUAUCUGGGCCGACACUGACACUGAGGCACGAAAGCGUGGGGAGCAAACAGGAUUAGAUACCCCUGUAGUCCCUGUCUCUUAUAA
rnacentral:rRNA from 1 species